AAAAGUAUAAGUUUGAAAUAUAUGCUAGCUCAAGUGAUCAUCCUCAAUAAGAAGAUAAAGACGGGGUAUACUUAUAUAAGAAGGCCGAGCCCACCGGCACUUAACACCAUCACAACAGCACAAGGUUAGAACCUGAAAAACAACAGGGAAUAAAACCCUGAGUAUGGAAUUACUCAGGAAGUCUUACCCGACUAAGGAAAAGACUCUCAAGGGUAUGCUGGAUAAAUAGGAAUCAAGGAGAGGCUUUAGCAAGAAUCAAUUUAGAUACUUUUGCUGAAAUAGGUUACUAAAGUGAGUCCUUACUUUCAAUCUUUUAACGCCAUAUUAAGUAUUAAUAGACUCUAUUUGCAUCUAGUCUAAUUUCAACAUCUCAUCAAUACAACAUCAUUUUUAUCCAUAGUGUUCACAUCCUGACUUUAGGUUGUAGAAAAGUGACCAAGUCUUCAUAACCGCGAAGGUACGGCGAUCCGAAUCGAUUAUACUCAGCUGAGGAUCUCCAAUCACACGACAUAUGUAGCACUUAACCCUUGCAUAUGUCAACCCGCCACCGGGGUUCUUAAGACCAGAUCAGGUUCACGCAAACCGAGAGCACAGAUACACCACCGUCCAGCCUCUUGCCACGGAGGGUACACGCUACUCUUGCCACCGCUCCACGCCCAUUUCGUGUUAUCUUAUUCUGGCCUUAGUCUGCCCGAGGCAAGGCUUACCCAUGACGAGGCAUGUGACCAGUUAAAGGGUCCUCGGUCAGCACGCCUACAUACGCAUUAAUCCUUAACCAACCUGGGUAGAACAUCACCUGUUCCUAACCCAAGUCUCAAUUUAAGUAUUUCCAUCCUUAGGAUUGUGUCUGUUCCUUAGGAUGAAAGAGCAUCACAGGGAACUUUGCAGUAAGAUCCCACUAUUGCUCCAAAUGAAAAUAUUCUUGCAGGUAGAAGCCAUCCUCUCCCGGGUUAGACUGAUGACAACCUCUAUCCACAAGAUCUAAGCAAGGCUAAGCAUUUUUGUAAAUCAUAUUUUGAUACUUCACAGAAGUAUCUAUAAAGGCAUGGAUAUCAAGGAAAGCAAUGCAUCAAAGGGUUCCAAGCAACUCCUAUGAACCUAAUGCACAUUUCACUAGACUUAAGUGUGCGAAAAGUAUUUAAAACACAAGGAAAGGGGUUGCAUGCACCGGGGCUUGCCUGAGUAACACUAGGUUAGUGUUGGUUAGGUGACGUCCGCUUGAUGAGUAUUCUUCGACCGAGCACUUGCUUGAUUUAACCAUCUUCAGGUUGAUUCAUCAGCUUCAGCUUGCAGAUUAGCCCACGCUUGGGGUCGACUUGGUUUUUCUUCCGCAUCACGUGAUUAUUUAUCGUCCUGAAUGAAAUGCAUUAUGCAUAUGAAUGCAUAUAAAGAACAAUAACACUAGAUAUUACGAUGCUACGCAAAAGAGAAAUAACCUAUUUAAUGAUGAAACAUUACGUACACUAGUUAUCGAUAUAUUGUUACUUACGACAAUCAUGUUCUUACAACCUAGCUAAACAGUCGAGGUAGCAAUCAACAUCCAUUCCAAGCAUGAGAUCGACCAACACAUAAAUUAUCAGACCUAGUCUAGAGAACACACUAAAUGACUUAUAACUUUUAACUUCACAAUUUUUGGACAUCUAAUACUUAUAAAAUUUGAUAGAAGAAUUUUUAUUAACUUUCUAAACUAAUUCACCGGUUAACCCGUAUAUUAUAUAUAUCUACCAAUAUACUUAUCGCAUAACCCUAAAAUUCAACUUAAUCUCUACAGCGAGUAAUAAACAAGAGAAUCAUCGCAAUCAAUCCUUCUAUUUAAUCCUACCAUUUAUUUAGUUGACGGGAAUAAUAAAUUAACUUACCAUAAUUAACUCGAGCUGAAGUUGUGAGGUCAACGACGAUCCUAUGGACGAGGACUCGGAUUUGAAGGGCGAUGCGGCAAAAUUAUUGGAACGGCGGAGUCGAUGACGCGAUGAGAAUUAAG
rnacentral:lncRNA from 1 species